UGACCAUUUUGCACUGUUAAAGCAAAAUUGAGGCUACACGGACGGCCGGGUCAAAUGCCGA
rnacentral:sRNA from 12 species